rnacentral:rRNA from 1 species
CCUACGGGAUGCAGCAGUAGGGAAUCUUCCACAAUGGGCGAAAGCCUGAUGGAGCAACGCCGCGUGGGUGAAGAAGGUCUUCGGAUCGUAAAACCCUGUUGUUAGAGAAGAAAGUGCGUGAGAGUAACUGUUCACGUUUCGACGGUAUCUAACCAGAAAGCCACGGCUAACUACGUGCCAGCAGCCGCGGUAAUACGUAGGUGGCAAGCGUUAUCCGGAUUGAUUGGGCGUAAAGGGAACGCAGGCGGUCUUUUAAGUCUGAUGUGAAAGCCUUCGGCUUAACCGGAGUAGUGCAUUGGAAACUGGGAGACUUGAGUGCAGAAGAGGAGAGUGGAACUCCAUGUGUAGCGGUGAAAUGCGUAGAUAUAUGGAAGAACACCAGUGGCGAAAGCGGCUCUCUGGUCUGUAACUGACGCUGAGGUUCGAAAGCGUGGGUAGCAAACAGGAUUAGAUACCCGGGUAGUC